UACAACUGAUUAAUUAAAACUCUGAAUGAAAGCCGUCAUGUUGAGCUGAAACGGGUUAUCUGAUCCUCCUACAUGCACAUAAUGGUAGUAGUCAGAGUGUGUAUGAAGCUAGGUAAAGUCGGCUGAAAUGAACCUAAGCUGCUUCUUCAGGAUAUGUUUGUGAUAGGUCGGGAUGCUACAAA
rnacentral:ncRNA from 2 species